rnacentral:rRNA from 1 species
AGUAUAUGACAAAGGGGGGAACCCUGAUCCAGCCAUCCCUCGUGUGUGAAGAAGGUCUUCGGUUGGUAAAGCACUUUAUUUUGGCAGGGAGAGUGGUAGGCUAAUACCUUGCAAUCUUGAUGUUACCAACAUAAUAAGCAGCGGCUAACUCUGUCCGCGCAGCCGCGGUAAUACAGAGGGUGCCAGCGUUAAUCGGAAUUACUGGGCGUAAAGCGCGCGUAGGUGGUUCGUUAAGUUGGAAGUGAAAGCCCCGGGCUUAACCUGGGAAUUGCUUUCAAAACUGACGAGCUAGAGUACGGUAGAGGGUAGUGGAAUUUCAUGUGUAGCGGUGAAAUGCGUAGAUAUCGGAAGGAACAUCAGUGGCGAAGGCGACUACCUGGACUGAUACUGACACUGAGGUGCGAAAGCGUGGGGAGCAAACAGG